AGAAAGGACCCAGACCGCCCCACCUGGGGAUCGAACCAAGGACCUUCUUGCUGUGAGGCGACAGUGCUACCCACUUAGUCACCGUGCCGCCGCCUAUCCUGUGCGCAUGUGCAAAGAAGCAAAGCAGGACAACUUUCCAGACGCAGGACUCACUCAUUAGAAGCGUAACUUUUUCUGAGUAGGAUUCAGAUGCUGUUACAGAUUUCUUGCAGACUCCUGUUGGGAUAAUAACUGUUAUACCUGAAGACAGCCAGCAACCAGGUCCAAAUACCCUGCACCUUGAGCCAUCCAGCAUUGGUGUCAUACUGGAAUGUAAUAUCAUUAUUGAUGGCAUUGCAAGUCACACUCAAGCUAUUUGCUUGACUUGUGGACAAAUACAUUAAACAUGAUUGAACAUUUGUGCUUGUUAAACUGUGCCAAAUUAAGUAAUAUUUUGAUUGUCUAAAAUGUGGAUGUUUUAUUUGUGUAAUUAAUAACAACUCUUCAAUGUUAUUUACAUGUUACAUGUAUAUUCUGUUUAAAGUAGGAACUACUGAAUUACAUUGAGUAAAUAAGACUGUCUUAAGUAGACUUUAAUAGUAGACAUUAAGUAACCAUAACUUGAAAAUAAGUGUUAUAUUUACUUAACUUUUUCAAUGCAACCGGUAAGAUCAACUUAGCUCAUUUUACAGUGCAUGUUUUUGUAUAAUUGUAUAUGUUAUAAGUAUAA